CAGAGCCCGCCAGCUGCUAAGCCAGGGCCACACCUGGAGGUGAUUUCAUGCCUCACCUCCAGUAGGCUCAUGGCCUCUCUGGGCUAACCUCUGACUCCCUCGCACUAACUAGCUCUUACCCAGCUGAUUCCUGCCUCUCCAUGGCUGCCCCAGGGGCUGACCACUAACAUCCAGCCCUGCCUAUUGUGGGGGGGGGGCAGCGGUAUGGGCUCAGGUUCCUGGCCUGGCUUUGGCCGGCUCCCUUGAACUACCCUUCCUCUGGACUAAUUCAUUGUUCCUUUCGGCAGAAAUGAAUGGCUGUGGCUUUCUCUCAAACAGGUCUCCUUUCCUCCCACUAUCAACACUAAUGGCUUGGAUGGCGGCAUGGCCGGG
rnacentral:lncRNA from 1 species